rnacentral:rRNA from 1 species
CAGAACGAACGCUGGCGGCACGCCUAACACAUGCAAGUCGAGCGCACCUUCGGAUGAGCGGCGGACGGGUUAGUAACGCGUGGGAACAUACCCUUCUCUAAGGAAUAGCCACUGGAAACGGUGAGUAAUACCUUAUACGCCCUUCGGGGGAAAGAUUUAUCGGAGAUGGAUUGGCCCGCGUUAGAUUAGAUAGUUGGUGGGGUAACGGCCUACCAAGUCUACGAUCUAUAGCUGGUUUUAGAGGAUGAUCAGCAACACUGGGACUGAGACACGGCCCAGACUCCUACGGGAGGCAGCAGUGGGGAAUCUUAGACAAUGGGCGAAAGCCUGAUCUAGCGAUGCCACGUGAGUGAUGAAGGCCUUAGGGUCGUAAAGCUCUUUCGCCAGGGAUGAUAAUGACAGUACCUGGUAAAGAAACCCCGGCUAACUCCGUGCCAGCAGCCGCGGUAAUACGGAGGGGGUUAGCGUUGUUCGGAAUUACUGGGCGUAAAGCGCACGUAGGCGGACUAUUAAGUGAGGGGUGAAAUCCCAGGGCUCAACCCUGGAACUGCCUCUCAUACUGGUAGUCUUGAGUUCGAGAGAGGUGAGUGGAAUUCCGAGUGUAGAGGUGAAAUUCGUAGAUAUUCGGAGGAACACCAGUGGCGAAGGCGGCUCACUGGCUCGAUACUGACGCUGAGGUGCGAAAGUGUGGGGAGCAAACAGGAUUAGAUAUCCCUGGUAGUCCACACCGUAAACGAUGAAUGCCAGUCGUCAGCAAGUAUACUUGUUGGUGACAC